rnacentral:rRNA from 1 species
CCUACGGGAGGCUGCAGUAAGGAAUAUUGGACAAUGCCCGCAAGGGUGAUCCAGCCAUGCCGCGUGCAGGAAGACGGCCCUACGGGUUGUAAACUUCUUUUCUACGGGAAUAAACCUCAGGACGUGUCCUGAGCUGAAGGUACCGUAGGAAUAAGCAUCGGCUAACUCCGUGCCAGCAGCCGCGGUAAUACGGAGGAUGCAAGCGUUAUCCGGAUUUAUUGGGUUUAAAGGGUGCGUAGGUGGGAUGAUAAGUCAGAGGUGAAAGCUAGCAGCUUAACUGUUAAAUUGCCUUUGAUACUGUUAUUCUUGAGUGUAGUUGGCGUUGGCGGAAUGUGACAUGUAGCGGUGAAAUGCGUAGAUAUGUCACAGAACACCGAUCGCGAAGGCAGCUAACGAAGCUAUCACUGACACUGAUGCACGAAAGCGUGGGGAGCAAACAGGAUUA